UCAAAUCAUCAUGCCCUUAUGUUCUGGGCUACACACGUGCUACGAAUGGCCGGUACAGACGGACGCAAAGCCGCGAGGUGGAGCAAAUCGCAGAAAAUCGCUCUCAGUUCGGAUUGGAGUCUGAAACCCGACUCCAUGAAGGUGGAAUCGCUAGUAAUCGCGCAUCAGCAUGGCGCGGUGAAUACGUUCCCGGGCCUU
rnacentral:rRNA from 1 species